CUCAUUUGCCAACAUAAGUGUAGAAAGCAUUGCCGGUCUCUUUGGAAUCAGACUCCGACCCAACCUUUGCCCCAACUUUGUGUCUAUCCGCCUCCUUCUCGCUGCUGCAUAUGACCGCAACUCCUCUCUACUCUUCCGUGUCCGGUGAUGGAUCGUUGAAGAAGAAAGUGGUGGAUGUGAUGCCGGUCGCCACUAGACUCGAGCGCGAGGAGCUCGAGGGGAAGAAGCGUUUCGAUGUGGAUGCUCCGGCGGGCCCUUUUGGCACUAAGAAGGUGACAUUCUCAUUACGAGUGGCUGGUCCUUGAACCACCUCUUAUGGCCUCUUCAGAGAUAUUGGGAGGCCCCACCUUGGCUGGCCUUAGACUAAGGCAUGUUGUAUGAAUUUUCUAUUUUCUAGUUAUGUUUGUCUAUUAUUAUUUUCAUAUUGAUUGUAGAGCUAUACUUUGGACAAAUAUUAGAUUUAAGAAGUCAUUAAGCCAUUAAUACUGUGGUUUAGAGAGUUCUCUAUC